GUCCACGCUGUAAACGAUGACGACUAGGUGUGGGGUGGGUUAGUCCAUUCCGUGCCGCAGCUAACGCAUUAAGUCGUCCGCCUGGGGAGUACGGCCGCAAGGUUGAAACUCAAAGGAAUUGACGGGGGCCCCGCACAAGCGGUGGAGCAUGUGGUUCAAUUCGAUGCAGAGCGAAGAACCUUACCUGGGCUUGACAUGCUGGAAGUAGAACCCCGAAAGGGGAACGACCUGUUAAGUCAGGAGCCAGCACAGGUGGUGCAUGGCUGUCGU
rnacentral:rRNA from 1 species